rnacentral:lncRNA from 1 species
AACAGCCAGGCCUUCCCUUCUUGCUGCUUGGCAGGGCGGACCUGGCCUUGUGCCAGCUGCAGCACGUGGAGCCACAGCACCAAUCCUCUGACAGAGAACCCGGCCUGUUAUCUAACUUUGCAAAGGGAAGUUCUCCCCCAGUCUGGGAGCCAUAACCAGGGCUGCCAGAUGAGAACGGUGAGAAGAGCUCCACGCCCACAGCAAGUGCACUGUGAUUCCCCAGGACAUUGACUGUGGAUGGGUGAAGUCACACACUUGCAUGUCCUCAGCCUUCCAAGAGUGGAGCCAGAGAGGUCAGACUUAGGCAGAGAUGUCAGGCUGCAGAAUCUAGAACAAGCCAGCAAUUGAUUCUGAGGCUCAACUUCAAAACUGAACACAGUAAGCUCCAACAGGCCUCCUUCUGCAGCUCAGACACCCUGGGGCAAAUGAUAAGCUCUUGGUUUUCUGUCCUGUGCCUGAUCUCACAGAUCCAUGGCUGUUUUCCCAAAUCACAUCUUACACAGAGCUGGAAAGGUUCCCCAACGUCUGCUGCCCCAAGUCUUUUCCUCCUGAGUGAUCCUCCUCAGAUUAAUGAAAUUCCAUAUUAUAUAUUACAUAAUCCACAGCGCCAGAACUCACUCUGGAACCAGGCAGGCACUGAACUUGUGUUCUUUCUGUCUUGGCCUCUCAAAUGCAGCCAUUUGAGGUUUGUCGGACCAGGCUGGGCCAGGCUUCCUUUUUUUCCCCUCCCAGUACAAGAAAAGGGCCCUGUGCACGUUGGGCAAGUAUCUCUUGUUGUUGCUGUCAUUUUUAAAGACUAUAAUAGCUAUGGAUAUGUGUGUAUACAUAUAUUACACAUACACACAAACACAUAUAUGUAUAUAUUUUAAUUGUGUCUAGAGAGUUGGCUCAGCAGUUAAGAGUACUUGUUCUUGCAGAAGACCCAGGUUUGGCUCCCAGUAGCUACAUGGUAGGAACCUACCUGGGUAGCUCACAACCACCCUCACUACACUUCUAGGUGAUCCAGCUCUCUUUCAUGGUCCCUGCAGGCACCAGGCACACACAUAGUACACAUACACACAUGCAGGCAAACACUCAUAUACAUGAAAAUAAAACCUAUUUUUAAUUAUU